CAGCUUCGGAAGGAGAACGUGCAGAACUUCAACAACAGUUGGGCAAUUUAGAAGUGGAAAGGCGAGUUCAGACAAAAAAUAUCACCGUCUUUGAUCGCGUGAGAGACGCAUUCCUCGAUGGUGUUUAGCUUUGCAUCGGCAAGCACGCGGAUUUGGUCGUGUUUCUUAGUUUUGUGAGGCAAUCUGCAACUGGCGUACCUUAACAUCGCAUAAGCCCCAAUUGCACCGAUAGCGAGGCCUUCCAUCACAAGUCCUAUGGGCCCAGUAAUAACUCCCGAAAUAGCGGGAAUGUGAAUGGCGGCAGGUGUAG
rnacentral:misc_RNA from 1 species